rnacentral:rRNA from 1 species
AACGCUGGCGGCGUGCAUAACACAUGCAAGUGGAGCGACCGGUGAAACCUUUGGGUUUCAACUUAAACUGGGAGCCGCGAACGGGUGAGUAACACGUGGGCAAUCUGCCCCGUCGAUUGGGAUAGCCCGGGGAAACCCGGAUUAAUACCGAAUGUGAUUGCUGGUCGAUUGGACCGGUACGGAAAGGAAGCUUCUUUUAUAGCCUCCGCGACGGGAUGAGCCCGCGACCGAUUAGCUUGUUGGUAAGGUAACGGCUUACCAAGGCGACGAUCGGUAGCUGGUCUGAGAGGACGAUCAGCCACACUGGGACUGAGACACGGCCCAGACUUCUACGGGAGGCUGCAGUGGGGAAUCUUGCGCAAUGAGCGAAAGCUUGACGCAGCAACGCCGCGUGAGGGAAGACGGCCUUCGGGUUGUAAACCUCUUUCAGGGAAGAGUAAGGCUCGUGAGUUAAGAGCUCACCGGGUUGAAAGUAUUCCCAGAAGAAGCACCGGCUAACUACGUGCCAGCAGCCGCCGUAA